AAUGGAAGAUGGCAAUCUAAGAACGCCGCGUCCUGGGACUGCGCUAACUCGUCCCACCAACCCCUCUGUGGCAACGAUUGCAUGACCAACGUCCUGUUGG
rnacentral:sRNA from 1 species